AAUAAGUCAAAGCAGCCGCUUCUUUCCCAUCUUCCCGGAUGAAGAGUCGACUGGCCGGCGCACGGUGCCGAACAAUACGCGCGUGGACCCGGCCUACGUGGGAGCAUGGAAUAGCUAGCCGUUCGACGUGUUCGCAGGUGUACGUUCUGUGGCGCCUUGUGUAUUCUUGCAGCGCAUCCGCUAACCUUCACUUCCCUGCGCUUCUCGCACGCACAGAUGAGAUAAGCUUGUGGUAGGGAGGAUUCGUUCCUUAAUAAGUCAAAGCAGCCGUCCCGGAUGAAGAGUCGACUGGCCAUGACUGCAUUUUCUGCGUUUCUUUCCCAGCGAACGAUGCGCGAAAGGCACCGUUUUUUCAGUUUUCGUUCCGCGCACGAGUUGUGCGGACGCUUGCCUAGGUAUCCGCUCAUCCAAUGCCUAGUUGUGUGCCAGGAUGCAAGUCGCGCACGCCGACAAGUGGACCGCCCAUAUCUUUUCACGUGUAAGUAAAUUUCCUUAUGUGGUUGGUGUUUUAUCGGAGGAAAAACUAGAACUUAUUAUACACGCAUUCACAUAGCGAUAAUAAUUCUAUAGUUAUAGUAUAACAGUAAAAUAUUUUAUUCGCACAAUAUAAGUUAUCAUCUAAUACAUAUGCGCGUGAUUCUUCAUUAUCAGGUUUCCCGGUGACACCGUUCGUCGGAAAAAGUGGAUAGAGGCAAUUUGGCCAUCCUCCAGAGUUGAUCGAGAGCCUAAGAAGCAAGCCCGCAUUUGUUCAACUCACUUUCGGGAUGAACAUAUAGAUCGCACGUCGCCAAGUAGAGUCCGUCUGCGGGGACAUGCAGUGCCGACGCUCUUGCUGCCUCAUCCAGUUUACCAAGGUGACAGUGCAUCUGAUGCAACAAGCCAUGUUGCACACUCGCACUCUGCAUCCUCUCAACUCACGCAAGGAUGUGAUGAAGGCUUGAUGGUGCUUGCACAGGUUGCCACAAGUUUUGAUGAACGCUCAGCUCAGGCCAGCCUACCUACCCCUGGUUUGUCUGGCUUAGGUGCUGGUCUCUACAGUCAGACUACGUUUGAACAGG